GCCUGGGUGGCUCGGUUGGUUGAGCGUCUGACUUCAGCUCAGGUCAUGGUCUCACAGCUCGUGGGUUUGAGCCCCACAUCAGGCU
rnacentral:tRNA from 1 species